GUGUGGGGUCUGUUCCGAGCCGCCUGCGGGUCUGGAGCCAGCAGCAGCAGCAGCAGCAGCAGCAGCAGCAGAGCCUGAAAGCCCGAGCUCGUGGCGGAUUCAGUGGGAGUGUAAAGAAAAGAAAACGAGGGGUCUUUUCCGAAGAAAGUGUGUCCCGUGUGUGUGUCCUGUGUAGCGCGCAAAGCGAAAAGAGGGCAAAAGCCUGCUCUGUGUCUGUGUCUCUGCGUGUGUUGGUGUGUGUCCGAUGUGAGCUGGUGGUUGAUGAUGGUACUGCUCCUGUGAGAACGUGCCCCCCCCCUUUCGAGCCGGGGAUUCGAGGAUUUCGAGUGACGAGUCUGACCCUAUCCGUGGCUCCGUGAAAGUGUCCGUCGUGUCCCUGACCGGGCCUAAGGAAGGGGUGGUGGUGGUGCAUCUGACCUCAGCCUGAUCCUGGCCGAAGAAAAACUGCCGAAAGUAGGGAAGAAAAAAACAGCUGUCUUAGCGGCCGCUAGCAUCUUCAGUCGGUCGAAGCUGCGCCCGAAGCUGAAGAAUCCCGGUGCUCUACAAAUUCGCCGCAGCUGCCAGCGCUCUGCGUUAACUCCAAAACCG